rnacentral:misc_RNA from 1 species
UGGCUCUAGCAUCGAUGAAGAACGCAGCGAAAUGCGAUAAGUAAUGCGAAUUGCAGAAUUCCGCGAGUCAUCGAAUCUUUGAACGCACAUUGCGCCUGCCAGCACUCUGGCAGGCAUGCCUGUCCGAGCGUCAUUUCAACCCCCAGGCCCAUGUCGCCUGUUGUUGGGGCCUCUUCAGGGGGCGAGGGCUUGCGGCCCGACCCCCCCUGAGCCCCGAAAUGCAGUGGCGGGCCUUCCGGGUCACCGAGCGCAGUAGACUCCUCUCGCUCCGGGGAACCCGGCGGGCGCCGGCCGUGAAAACCAGCACAGCACUAGAAGCAGUGGUUUGACCUCGGAUCAGGUAGGAAUACCCGCUGA